GCCCGGUUAGCUCAAUCGGUAGAGCGUGAGACUCUUAAUCUCAAGGUUGCGGGUGAGCAUCUCGAUCAGAAGACAAAAUCUACAUGACAAUACUAAUCCGAACAUAGGUUCGACCCCCGCAUCGGGCU